UACGUAGGUGGCAAGCGUUGUCCGGAUUUAUUGGGUUUAAAGGGUGCGUAGGCGGUCUUCUAAGUCAGUUGUGAAAUACUUCAGCUUAACUGGAGAGGUGCAAUUGAUACUGGAAGACUUGAGUACUGAUGAGGUAGGCGGAAUGGACGGUGUAGCGGUGAAAUGCUUAGAUAUGACACAGAACACCGAUUGCGAAAGGCAGCUCACAAAACUGUAACUGA
rnacentral:rRNA from 1 species